GAAAUGCGAUAAGUAGUGUGAAUUGCAGAAUUCAGUGAAUCAUCGUAUCUUUGAACGCACAUUGCGCCCCUUGGUAUUCCAUGGGGCAUGCCUGUUCGAGCGUCAUUUGUACCCUCAAGCUCUGCUUGGUGUUGGGUGUUUGUCCCCGUCUCCGCGCGUGGACUCGCCCCAAAGUGAUUGGCAGCCGGCGUACUGGUCCCGGAGCGCAGCACAUGUCGCGCAAACGAGUGCCUUGGUACGGCGGCGUCCAUAAGCCCCUCUCUCACGCUCUUGACCUCGGAUCAGGUAGGGAUACCCGCUGAACUUAAGC
rnacentral:misc_RNA from 1 species